GGUUUUACUCNGGAAAAGCCACAGAGAUGUUGUUCCUUUGGGGGCGGUGGACAGGUGUGCAUGGUUGUUGUCAGCUCGUGUUGUGAGAAGUUGGGGUAAGUCCCGCAACGAGGGCAACCCCCGUCCUAUGUUGCCAGCACGUUAUGGUGGGGACUUAUAGGAGACUGCCGGGGUCAAAUCGGAGGAAGGUGGGGAAGAAGUCAAAUCAUCAUGCCCCUUAUGUCCAGGGCUUCAAACAUGGUACAAUGGCCGGUACAAAGGGGUGGGAAACCGCGAGGGGGAGCCAAUUCCAAAAAACCCGUUUCAGUUUGGAUUGGCGUUGCAACUUGACCUCNNGAAGUCGGAGUUNNUNNUNANUG
rnacentral:rRNA from 1 species